GACGAACGCUGGCGGCGUGCUUAACACAUGCAAGUCGAACGGAAAGGCCCUGCUUUUGUGGGGUGCUCGAGUGGCGAACGGGUGAGUAACACGUGAGUAACCUGCCCUUGACUUUGGGAUAACUUCAGGAAACUGGGGCUAAUACCGGAUAGGAGCUCCUGCUGCAUGGUGGGGGUUGGAAAGUUUCGGCGGUUGGGGAGGGACUCGCGGCUUAUCAGCUUGUUGGUGGGGUAGUGGAUUACCAAGGCUUUGACGGGUAGCCGGCCUGGGAGGGUGACCGGCCACAUUGGGACUGAGAUACGGCCCAGCCUCCUACGGGAGGCAGCAGUGGGGAAUAUUGCACUAUGGGCGGAAGCCUGAUGCAGCACCGCCGCGUGCGGGAUGACGGCCUUCGGGUUGUAAACCGCUUUCGCCUGUGACGAAGCGUGAGUGACGGUAAUGGGUAAAGAAGCACCGGCUAACUACGUG
rnacentral:rRNA from 1 species